rnacentral:rRNA from 1 species
UACGGAGGGGGCUAGCGUUGUUCGGAAUUACUGGGCGUAAAGCGCACGUAGGCGGCUUCGUAAGUUAGAGGUGAAAGCCCGGGGCUCAACUCCGGAAUUGCCUUUAAGACUGCAUCGCUUGAACACGGGAGAGGUGAGUGGAAUUCCGAGUGUAGAGGUGAAAUUCGUAGAUAUUCGGAAGAACACCAGUGGCGAAGGCGGCUCACUGGACCGUUGUUGACGCUGAGGUGCGAAAGCGUGGGGAGCAAACAGG